UUGUCGGAUUUGCACAUUCAAAUUUUUUGGUUCUAGUUGAUAUUAUUUCUUUCUUUGUAAAUAUUUUUCUAAAUGGAAGAAAUUAACAUUUUUCAAAUUUUCUCCUAUUCAUUAAUUAGUUGUUAUACAUAUAUUCCAACGUAAUCAAUACAAUACUAAAAGGAAGAUAUAAUCCAUCGAGAAGGUGUCCACGUCAGCUUAAAUAAUCAACCAAUUAGAAAACAGCUAUGUUAAUGAAUAAUUCCACGUCACCGAAGCACUUCUCUUUCGCGUUCUCACCGUCUUACCGACGACGAAAGAAACCGACCUAAUUUGUCGUUACAGUUCAAUCGUAAAUUCUGCAUUCAAUUAUUAUUAAACAAAUAAGAAACUCUUCAAAUUCAUCCUGCAUUCCACAUCACUAUAUUAAUCGAUGGCGAGUUCUAGAUUUGAAGAUUCUAAUUACGCGAAGAAGCUGUUUCGUCUCUCCUCUUUGUUCUACGGCGCAAGGAGACGCCUGAGCUUUUUCCUGACCAGAGUCGACAAUGAUUCAAGAGCUUUUGUAAACUGGGAAAACACUGAAAUAUUUCGAUAAAAAGAGUUGACCUUCCACCCCAAAAGACCAUGGAGUCUCUCUAAAUUACACAGAGGUGGCAUCCAGCUCUCGGAUUAUAGAAUGGGCGCUUUGAUCGAUACAGUUGACAAUCACGAAGGCCCUGUUUGUUCUCACUCCAUAGCCUUUCUUCUUCUGAAGAGUGAUCUGUAGAAAGUAAUGAAGAGGAAGGUGGUGCUUACAAUCCACUGAAGCUGCCAAUGGGUUAGGACGGGAAGCCAAUACCAUACUGGCUCUACAAGCUUCAUGGACUUGGCCAGAAGUUGAAUGCGAGAUACGUGGAAACAGUGUCUACAUGGGUAGAAGGGCUUUUGAGAGACAUUUCAAAAAGAGUUUCACAACCAAAUGGAUGCCAGAACUUGAAGAAGACUUACUCUGAUCUCCAACGUCAACGUUGCGUUCCACCUUUUCCCAACGAACGGAGCCAUUGCAAGACCUUGACAAAGAGUGGCACAUCUCAUUAACUCAACUUCGUAAUUGAUAGACGUGGGACCUCAAAAGCUUAAGGAGGCGCUGGGGGCACUGGGGCUGAAAGUUGGUGGUACUUUGCAGCAACAUGCCGAGAGACUUUUCCUUACAAAGGACUACAACUGUUCGUCUCAGUGCUUUCGAUGUUCAGGCCAGCCAACUUCACCAGAACUUAUUUAGGGUACGUGUUGAGCUUACGGUCAUUGUUUCCACCAGAAUUAGUCCCAAGUUUGUUGGAGGUCGCCUAUUCAUGAUGAUUCAAGUUUAUAUAUUUUGGAACUUGCAAAUAAAGAGAUGUUGACUUGACCAACCGCUGGUUUGGGCGAGUCUGGAGCUAGCUGCUCCACAAGUUCUACUAAAUAUGGUGGUGUAAAGAAAAUUGCAUCUGUUACGGUGUCCGAGCUAAAUGCAUACGCUCUCAAUGCUUCUAGCAGUGUGACAUAUUGUAAUGCGUGUUGACAGGGCGGAAAUAACCACCCCAGUGGUAAUUCUAUGCCUGGCGCAGUGGCGCUAUAUGUGUGUCCUGCAUCUGCUCAGAUGGUCAGAAGUUAAAAGAAACUGACAUAGCUAUAGGCAGUGGUGAAAUCCCUGUGAACCCAACUCCUCUGCUGAAUGAAACCACAACAGCUGCUCAAACAACUCUGAUGAAAGCUUAGCUGCAUAAGUUACCCAUAUAUAGUUUCCUGCAUUUUCUGAAACGUCAUUUGCAUUGUCUUUUUCAAAACAUCGUUUGGUUUCAUGUUUCCAACUUAUUUAUCAAUAAAAGCAUAUUUUAAUAUUGGACCGGAUACACAUCAAUUUCUUAUAGUUCAUUGAUGUGAAUAGAUCACUAACCAUUUGUUUUCUUUUUACCUGACGAAGUACAUAUUUACUGUGUAGGUCAGAAUUACCUUUGACAAUUUGUACGAAAAUUUGAAUGAAAAUUAUUUUUAACA